rnacentral:lncRNA from 1 species
CGUCUCCCUCCAAACAUGAAGAAGACUUAAAGGAUGUGGAGAAUAUGUGAAAUCCUUUUCACUUUUCAAAGCAUCUCAGCAGAAGUUUCUAGUAGCUCCUUCUUCAGGCUUGUAUCCUUGGCUAGACAUCCCUUUGGCACUGUGUGUGUUGUCGUGGCUGAAUCAGAAUUAGCAUGGGUCUCCAGGUGUUUGUGGAGGCUGUCUUCUACCCGGCCCAGCGCAGGUUCAAGUCUCUCUGCUGGAGAUGUGUGAGGCUUAGCUGGAGAACCAGGGAGUAGGGGGUCCUGGAGGAUCUCUUCCUGAGAACAGCACCUGGUCCAGCAGGCGCUCUGUGAGCCACCCCAGACCAGGCCCUAUCAGAACCCCAGCUCUGCUCCCCGGCCAACCUGCGCAGGGCCUCCUCCCAGAACUACCAGCUGCAUCAGCGAUUACGACCCCCACACACACAAGGCCAAUGUAGAGAACUGACCUGACUCAGGCCUAAGAAGCUAUACUCCCACACACAGACCUCACAGAGGAGCACACAGACUGGCUCCCUCUCCACUGGAAGUCCUCCAGGGUGUCCUGUCAAGAGCAGACAGACAGAUUGUAGGGAGCUGACCUCAGAGGCUGACUUCCAGGACCUGUUCUGGGCUUGAUUUAUUUUCCUUGUGAAGAGGAGGAGGAGGGGGAGGAAGGUAGUGCAUAAGGUGGUUG